UGAACGCUGGCGGCGUGCCUAAUACAUGCAAAUCGAGCGAACAGAUGCGGAGCUUGCUCCUCUGACGUUAGCGGCGGACGGGUGAGUAACACGUGGAUAACCUACCUAUAAGACUGGGAUAACUUCGGGAAACCGGAGCUAAUACCGGAUAAUAUAUUGAACCGCAUGGUUCAAUAGUGAAAGACGGUUUUGCUGUCACUUAUAGAUGGAUCCGCGCCGCAUUAGCUAGUUGGUAAGGUAACGGCUUACCAAGGCAACGAUGCGUAGCCGACCUGAGAGGGUGAUCGGCCACACUGGAACUGAGACACGGUCCAGACUCCUACGGGAGGCAGCAGUAGGGAAUCUUCCGCAAUGGGCGAAAGCCUGACGGAGCAACGCCGCGUGAGUGAUGAAGGUCUUCGGAUCGUAAAACUCUGUUAUUAGGGAAGAACAAAUGUGUAAGUAACUAUGCACGUCUUGACGGUACCUAAUCAGAAAGCCACGGCUAACUACGUG
rnacentral:rRNA from 1 species